GACAUGAUCAAAAUUAUGAAUAAAAAACCUCAAAGAUUUACUGAAAUUUUAUGAAAACAUUUCACAAUAACAAAGAAUACAAAUAAUUUAAAUAAACUGAGUUCUUCCUCUGUUUAUUUGGCAUCAUAAAAAUGUUCUACACCUUCAAACCUAAUAAACUGUAAUUUGUAAAACAUAAAAGCAGCUAGAUGUUUGAAGUGUAAUUUUUAAAAAAGAAUCUCUUAGCAAUGUGAAGUAUACAAACUAUAUGGACAUAGUAACAUAAGCUCCACAGAUACCAACAAUGUCCCCUUUGCUUCACUGUUUCAUCCCAUGUAUCCAGAACUGUCUUCCACAAGCUGAUGGCGCUCUUUAAUCUUCUUUCCUCAACUCCUAAACUUCCCCCCGCCCCUACUUCUUCGGCAAAAGGCCCACAUUGGGCGCCUGAAGCCGCGAACCUCCAGCCUGGCCUCCUAUUGGGUGGAUCUCAUGCCACUCUGGGCUUCAGCUGUCCAAUAACGAUUGGACGGCCCUCGUGAGGUUGCCGCCCAUAAACAAAAUGCACUCUUCCUCCUCCCCUCAGUGGCCCCGCCCCUAACUGCCCCUUCUCUCAUCUCGGUCGUUUUUUAUUGGCCUAGGAGCCACCCAAUCCGCUAUCUCAAACAUCG
rnacentral:lncRNA from 1 species